ACACAACGUAACCCCUGUUGGUCCUCUGUUCUGGGGUCUGGUAUCUCCGGCGCUACAUGGCUGCUUCGGCCGGGCUCCGGCGGCGGUGCCUCGCCAUGGUGAAGCAUCAAAAGACCCGCUUGUACAUCCUGCGCCGUUGCGUGUUGAUGCUCCUUUGCUGGCAUGAGCAUAGUCUCUCCGAUUGACCGAAAGGUAGCUCGAUCGACCGACCGACCGAUCAACCAACCGGGGGCAAGAUCUAUCGGAUACCAAGGAGACAGUGUAAUGGCAAUCUUAAGCGACCAAAUAGGAGAAGAUAAUUUGUCUCCGGUGUUAAAGCUCAAGUUAUUAGUGUAAAUAAUUAGCUAAAUUGGAGUCUGAUGCAGAGUUUUAUUGGAGAUCAUUUUCGGAAUGUGUAAAUAAAGUAGUUUUGUUUUCCAAAUCGGAAUGAGAUUAUAUUUAACUAGUUGUUCAUUUAGUUUACCAAGGAACCUUCGAAGGUUUAUGGCUGGAUUAAUUGAACUGCAAAAAUGCACCGAUAUAAGGGGGCCGGGCUUUCUUUGUUUCUGAGUAGUUGACUCUAUUCCCUAAAAGCAAAAGCUAUUAAAUGCGCCCACUGUCGCUAUUCCUCUCAAACAAUUGUUCAUCCUAAGAAGCGGUGGUCUAUCCUGAUGGUGAUGAGGUUCCAUAUGAAGUUGAUAUCCUGAUGAUCACAAGGAGCAAGACCCUGGUCCAAUUCCAGUCUGGUGGUGAUUCGGAGAGCUUCUAGACUUCGAAGCUGCACAGAGCUUGGACAUGGCCCGAGUACUCCCUCGGCACCGCCACCUCGUGCCAUGUCCUGGUCC